rnacentral:rRNA from 1 species
UCCUCCCUCUGGCGGCGUGCUUAACACAUGCAAGUCGAACGGAAAGGCCCUGCUUUUGUGGGGUGCUCGAGUGGCGAACGGGUGAGUAACACGUGAGUAACCUGCCAUUGACUUUGGGAUAACUUCGGGAAACUGGGGCUAAUACCGGAUAGGAGCUCCUGCUGCAUGGUGGGGGUUGGAAAGUUUCGGCGGUUGGGGAUGGACUCGCGGCUUAUCAGCUUGUUGGUGGGGUAGUGGCUUACCAAGGCUUUGACGGGUAGCCGGCCUGAGAGGGUGACCGGCCACAUUGGGACGGAGAGACGGCCGAGACUCCUACGGGCGGCAGCAGUGGGGAGUAUUGCACAAUGGGCGGAAGACUGAUGCAGCAACGCCGCGUGCGGGAUGACGGCAUUCGGGUUGUAAACCGCUUUCGCCUGUGACGAAGCGUGAGUGACGGUAAUGGGUAAAGAAGCACCGGCUAACUACGU